rnacentral:rRNA from 1 species
ACAGGUGUUGCAUGGCUGUCGUCAGCUCGUGUCGUGAGAUGUUGGGUUAAGUCCCGCAACGAGCGUAACCCUCAUCCUUAGUUACCAUCAGAUAAUGCUGGGGACUUUAAGGAAACUGCUAGUGAUAAACUGGAGGAAGGUGGGGAUGAUGUCAAGUCAUCAUGGCCCUUAUGGAGUGGGCUACACACGUGCUACAAUGGUGGCUACAAUGGGCUGCAAAGUCGCGAGGCCAAGCUAAUCCCUUAAAAGCCAUCUCAGUUCGGAUUGUACUCUGCAACUCGAGUGCAUGAAGUUGGAAUCGCUAGUAAUCGUGGAUCAGCAUGCCACGGUGAAUACGUUCUCGGGUCUUGUACACACUGCCCGUCACGCCAUGG